CCCAGCUGCCCGGAAUUAUCUCCCCUUCACUUUUCAAUGCUGGAGGGCUCUACAGCCAGAAUCUCAAUGCAUGAUCUCUUCAGGAUCUGAAAGGGAAAAUAACAACAUAAAAAGCUGAACUAAAGUACACAGUGGCACCCAACUGGCGUGCUCGGCUGGCCUGAGACAUCAAACAAACAAACAACAGAUGAGCUUCAGUGAAUGAUGAAUGCUCAGUAAAUCACAAGCGUUUUGCACUGCUCUUUAUGGGCCGAAACUUUAAAGCUUUUUCCACUUGUGGUCACGCCUUCAUCGGUGGGGACGUUGCUGCUCAUGUUAUGCAAUUUACAGCUGCUGGAAAACAUCUGCUGUGACAUCACUGAGAGUCACAAGCCUGAACGUUUUUAACAAUACAGCAACAUCUUCCUGCCGUGUGUUAUUCGGUGUGGACUCACCCUUUAAGUUCUCUAAUUUUUAUAUUGCUUUCAAGUUCCAAAGUAAGGGGAAAAAUAAGCAACAUGAAUAAUUAUUACAUGAUAAUGAUAAAGUCACAUUAUGCAUUACUAAUACUGGCAU